rnacentral:lncRNA from 1 species
CCCUGCUUCAUGUUCCAUCUCAUUUUUUUUUCCUCAUUUCCUACAGCUGGUUGUUUGUAAUAUUCAUGAUAUUUCUUGGUUUCCAGUUUGUCUCUCUUCUCUCUCUCACAAAAUAAUGCCCUGCCUUUAAAUUUUUCCAUUUGUGUACUGUCUCCUUUAUCAUCCCUAUUUCUUAAGCUUUCCUGCUUGGAGCAUCACUGUCUGAUUAUUUCAAGGAUAACAACUUCCCAUCUCUGUAUAGAAUUCUUUAGACAGGGAUAUGAGGAGCAUGCAUUUAUAGGAGCUGUGCAAUUGUAAUGAACGUUUAAAACAUGGAAAAAGUCCUGGGUCAAAUAAGGUUUACAGUUUGGGAUUGGUAAACCAAUGAAAGGAACGAGUAAAAUAAAGUAACAUCAGAAAGUGAUGUCAACAAUCUUCCUUUUCAUUUUAACCUGUUCCAUGUGGAAGCUCUGAAUACGGUCACGUGGCAGGCUCACGAGUGAGUCAUGGGAGGUAAGCGUGGCUGGGAGAAAGGAGGGAGCAGUUACUGCGAGGGUGGGUGAGGAUAACACAAGCCUUGUGAGCCAGACAGAAUUUAAAUGUGAUAAUCUUUGCAAAAUGUUUGUAAAGAUGAAUAAUUAUAUAAUCAAUAGAUAUAAUCAUCUUUUUCCUCUUACAGGUAAAUGCCAUUUACAGAAAGCAUUCUGCAUAAUAAAACGAUUUCAAAGUCUCAUAAGAGAAGCUAACAUAACUUCCCUUAAUCAAUCUAGUCUUCAUGAGCUCUACACAAAUAGUCCCAUACCAAGGUUUUCCUGUAUGUCUAUCCAUUUAUAGGGGAUAGGGAAGCUUAAGGGAGGAGUGCUGUGAAGAAUGUUGUCAUUUCUUCUGGACUGCUACUAAGUAAAAGUUAUCUUCUCACCUCACUCACCAAUUCCUGCCUUAGUACCACAGCAAUUAUCUUUGCCUAAACACAUUAACGGGGAAAAAUGUUCAGGCUUUUGGAGAAGAGCUACAAGUGGUGGACGGUGGCCACAGUGAAGAGUGGGGUAACUUAGACUAAACACUAUAGGAGCCAUCAGAAGAAAUUUUUCCAAACUGCAGCUUAUUACAUGGGUCACACAAGGACAGUUUGCAGCAUAAGGACAGCUAGCUGCUUAUACAAGAACAUGUGCCUGACACAGUCUCACAAGCCCAGUCCAAAACUACAAGGGCCUAACUGUAACUCCAGGAUUACAAGUCCUACCUAAUAACUAUUGACACUCGCCAGUCAGAACUCACCAGCUCUUUUGUUGCUGCCAGCACCAAUAAGCUUUCUUCCAAAACCAACGCAUAGCCUCCGCCUUUCCCAAUAAACUCUAACCUUUUCCUUUAUUCUGUGGACACUCCAGAGGCCAAUCUGGUCUGUAUAUAUGUCCCAGAUUGCAG